rnacentral:rRNA from 1 species
AGUGAACGCUGGCGGUAGGCCUAACACAUGCAAGUCGAACGGCAGCACAGGAGAGCUUGCUCUCUGGGUGGCGAGUGGCGGACGGGUGAGGAAUACAUCGGAAUCUACUCUGUCGUGGGGGAUAACGUAGGGAAACUUACGCUAAUACCGCAUACGACCUACGGGUGAAAGCAGGGGACAUUCGGGCCUUGCGCGAUUGAAUGAGCCGAUGUCGGAUUAGCUAGUUGGCGGGGUAAAGGCCCACCAAGGCGACGAUCCGUAGCUGGUCUGAGAGGAUGAUCAGCCACACUGGAACUGAGACACGGUCCAGACUCCUACGGGAGGCAGCAGUGGGGAAUAUUGGACAAUGGGCGCAAGCCUGAUCCAGCCAUACCGCGUGGGUGAAGAAGGCCUUCGGGUUGUAAAGCCCUUUUGUUGGGAAGGAAAUCCAGCUGGCUAAUACCCGGUUGGGAUGACGGUACCCAAAGAAUAAGCACCGGCUAACUUCGUGCCAGCCGCCGCGGUAA